rnacentral:rRNA from 1 species
GAUGAACGCUGGCGGCGUGCCUAAUACAUGCAAGUCGAGCGAACAGACGAGGAGCUUGCUCCUCUGACGUUAGCGGCGGACGGGUGAGUAACACGUGGAUAACCUACUUAUCAUACUGGGAUAACUUCGGGAAACCGGAUCUAAUACCGGAUAAUAUAUUGAACCGCAUGGUUCAAUAGAGAAAUACGGUUUUGCUGUCACUUAUAGAUGGAUCCGCGCCGCAUUAGCUAGUUGGUAAGGUAACGGCUUACCAAGGCAACGAUGCGUAGCCGACCGGAGAGGGUGAUCGGCCACACUGGAACUGAGACACGGUCCAGACGCCUACGGGAGGCAGCAGUCGGGAAUCUUACGCAAUGGGCGAAAGCCUGACGGAGCAAGGCCGCGUGAGUGAUGAAGGUCUUCGGAUCGUAAAACUCUGUUAUUAGGGAAGAACAAAUGUGUAAGUAGCUAUGCACGCCUUGACGGUACCUAAUCAGAAAGCAACGGCUAACUACGUG